AACUAUAUGAGUUAUUAAAUAUGUAAAAUUUUUUUAAAUUUUAUUUCAGUUUUUCAACGUUGCUUCAAUAGUUGGCAAUUGAUUCUUAAUAUGAAAUAGAAAUAUCACUAGGGAAAAUUACUAAGUAAGUCUCGACAGGUGUUUUGUACAGGUGUUCAGUGUACAGUGGCGCGUAUUCGCGUGUUCAGUGUAUAUCUUGUAUCCUUGGCACAAUAAAAUAUGUAAUUAAUAUUGAAUAGAUAUAAAAAAAAAUGUGAAAUUUUUCAUUUAAAAUUUUUAAAAAUGUUUCGGUUAUGGUGUGAUGUGAUAGAUUCGAAGUAUCGUGAAAGGUGAUCGUUAUUAAGAAUAAUAUUUCCAUACGAAAGAUCAACGGCAGACAUCGUGGGAUAUUGUAGUUGGAUAUUAUGCUAAUCACGUUACGAUCAGAAUGCGAGAAGAAGAACUUGAGAUAUCACUCAAGGUGGUGAUAGUGGGUAAUGGAGCUGUAGGGAAAUCGUCAAUGAUCCAAAGAUUUUGUAAAGGUACUUACACAAGGGAUUAUAAAAAGACGAUUGGUGUGGAUUUUUUGGAACGGCAGAUCGAAGUGGAUGGAGAGGAUGUAAGACUGAUGCUAUGGGAUACUGCUGGUCAGGAGGAAUUCGACGCAAUCACUGCGGCUUAUUAUCGCGGCGCCCAUGCCUGCGUCCUCGCUUAUUCAGCGACCGACAGAGAUUCCUUCGACGCCAUUCCUUCGUGGAAACAGAAGGUAAAAAAUGAAUGCGGUGAAAUUCCCACAGUUCUUGUACAAAAUAAGAUGGACCUUGUUGAUCAAUGCGUCAUUGAUCUGGAUGAAGCUGAAAGGCUUGGUCAUAUCCUAGGUUGUAAGCUUUUAAGAACAUCAGUGAAAGAGGAUGUUGGAGUUAUGAGCGUUUUCCGGCAUUUGGCAUCACGAUGUCUUCACGAAAUGCGUCGCUGUGAUGAUGAUUAUCAGGACGAUUUGAGAUUAUAUUCUGCCGGACCUAGAUCUCCUUCUGUAAUAAACGUGUGUUGAAGAACAUAGAAAAUUGAAAAUGAAUGAUAUUGUUGAUCGCGAUUUGCAUUGGCUAUUAAACGCAUUAAUUUGUACAAAUAACAAUGGAAUAGUGUUGAUUCAGCGUGUGACCAAUUCAAUAUAGAUGCUGAUCAAUUGUUUUAAUAGGCGCAUUUAGUCCAAAUGGAUCCACAUGUGGUCGGAGUAUGGGAAAUGGUACCAUAGUUUUGCGGUCAGGAGCCAAGACAAAGAAUCAUAAGAAAAGGAAUUUUGUAAAAAAUGCUUGUAGAUUGCUUUAGUUUUUGGAUAAAUAUGUGAAAAUUAUAAUGAAUGCUUUAAUCAUGUACAGAUUGAUAUAUUUAUAUUUAUGAAGAUAUAAAUAACUUUCAUUUCAAUAUUUCGACACUUACAAAUUUAAAAUUAUUAUAAAAUACGUACAACAUAAAGUAUCAAAAACAUAACAACAAAGGAUUAAUGCAAUUAUCUUUAAACAAUAUUGUUAUGUCGAUUAAUUUGUAAUAUACACUUGUUUUGAUUAUAUAUAGAAUCACUAUCACUAUAUGUCUCUAGUUUAUUUCAAUUACAUAUUGAAUAUUUAUUAUAAUUAUAAAUGAAAAAAUAACUCUAAUUUAUAUAACUUUAUUCAAAUAAUUCUAUUAAAUAAAAAAAAAAAAAAGAAUUUAAGAAGUAUAAAGUACAAAAUAAAAAGAAAAAUAUAAUAAAAAAAUAAUCUUUUAUACUGAAAUAUUUUUAUAAAUUGAAUUUCUCUUAUUAAAUAUUAAUUUUUCUAAAUGUUUUAAUGUUAUUAUGAAUAUGUGUAAAUACAUUUCUUCUUGUUCCCUGUA
rnacentral:misc_RNA from 1 species